AAUCGCCAAUCUUUAACCUGUGGUCGAUAGAUGGCACCAAUGGCUACAUUUUCUUCUUGGACAGCCAUGCUCUCAGGUGUCCGUGCCGGAAGUUAUUCGAGGAACAAAGUUCCUUACCCUGUUUGAGAAAAUGUAAAAUUUUCCUCAUUUUUGCACCAAGUUUUGCCUAUAACUCGGUCGGUAUCCAACGGAUUGCCAAUCUUUAACCUGUGGUCGAUAGAUGGCACCAAUGGCUACAUUUUCUUCUUGGACAGCCAUGCUCUCAGGUGUCCGUGCCGGAAGUUAUUCGAGGAACAAAGUUCCUUACCCUGUUUGAGAAAAUGUAAAAUUUUCCUCAUUUUUGCACCAAGUUUUGCCUAUAACUCGGUCGGUAUCCAACGGAUUGCCAAUCUUUAACCGUUGGUCGAUAGAUGGCACCAAUGGCUACAUUUUCUUCUUGGACAGCCAUGCUCUCAAGUGUCCGUGCCGGAAGUUAUUCGAGGAACAAAGUUCCUUGCCCUGUUUGAGAAAAUGUAAAAUUUUCCUCAUUUUUGCACCAAGUUUUGCCUAUAACUCGGUCGGUAUCCAACGGAUCGCCAAUCUUUAACCU